AGAAUCAACGCUGGCGGCGUGCCUAACACAUGCAAGUCGCACGAGAAAGGGUAGCAAUACCUGAGUAAGGUGGCGCACGGGUGAGUAACACGUGAAUGAUCUACCUCCGAGUGGGGAAUAACUGAGAGAAAUCUUAGCUAAUACCGCAUAACACUUACGAGUCAAAGCAGCAAUGCGCUUGGAGAGGAGUUCGCGGCCGAUUAGUUAGUUGGCGGGUAAUGGCCCACCAAGACGAUGAUCGGUA
rnacentral:rRNA from 1 species